rnacentral:rRNA from 1 species
GACGAACGCUGGCGGCGUGCUUAACACAUGCAAGUCGAACGGAAAGGCCCUGCUGGUGUGGGGUGCUCGAGGGGCGAACGGGUGAGUAACACGUGAGUAGCCUGCCCCUUACUUUGGGAUAACGGCAGCUAACGGGGGUUAAUACUGGAUAGGAGCGCCUGCUGCAUGGGGGGGGUUGGAAUGUUUCGGCGGUGGGGGAUGGACGCGCGGCUUAUCAGCUGGUUGGUGGGGUAGUGGCUUACCAAGGGUUUGACGGGUAGCCGGCCUGAGAGGGUGACCGGCAACAUUGGGACUGGGAUACGGCCCAGACUCCUACGGGAGGCAGCAGUGGGAAAUAUUGCACAAUGGGCGGAAGCCUGAUGCAGCAACGCCGCGUGCGGAAUGACGGCCUUCGGGUUGUAAACGGCUUUCGCCUGUGACGAAGCGUGAGUGACGGUAAUGGGUAAAGAAGCACCGGCUAACUACGUG